AACGCCUUACUUUUCUUCUCCGGAAGAGAAUGCAAUUUUAGAUGAUGUCUUUGAUCGGGCCGCAAACGAACCCAUAAAAACAAAGAAUAACAAAAGUAAUACGUUUUUAUGUGCACAACGGUUAUCAAGAAAACGAAGACAAGGUAUCAAUACUUUUGGGAUAUUCCAACAGACAAGUAGAAUUCCAACAUCUCUCCUAAAUCCCUGUCAACCUGGCGGUCGAAACGGAAAUAAUUUCAAGUGUGCAAAUCCUUUGGUUCCUAGUAGACCCAUACGUGACGUUAGUAAGCCUGUCAGUCCUGCUUUCGGUUGCCGACCAAAUGAUUUCUUGCGAGCUACUGGACAAUGCGGUAGCAACCGUGUGCCAGCUAGCUGCGGACCUUCUUACAAAUUCAUCAAAGCUACAAACCAAUGUAGACCAAUUCGCUUUUGAAUCAAAUUCGCUUUGUAAUUAAAGAAUAUAGUGGAUAAUCCUGAAAUUCAACACAACUAAUUUCGUAAUUGAUGCGAAAAUACAAGUUUCUUAAUAUCGUA